UACGGAGGGUGCAAGCGUUGUCCGGAAUCACUGGGCGUAAAGCGUGCGUAGACGGUCAUGUAAGUCGGAUGUGAAAGCCCCGGGCUCAACCUGGGAAUUGCAUUCGAGACUGCAUGGCUUGGGUGCGGAAGAGGGAAGCGGAAUUUCCGGUGUAGCGGUGAAAUGCGUAGAUAUCGGAAGGAACACCAGUGGCGAAAGCGGCUUCCUGGUCCGACACCGACGUUCAGGCACGAAAGCGUGGGGAGCAAACAGG
rnacentral:rRNA from 1 species